AUUGAACGCUGGCGGCAGGCCUAACACAUGCAAGUCGAACGGUAGCACAGAGAGCUUGCUCUCGGGUGACGAGUGGCGGACGGGUGAGUAAUGUCUGGGAAACUGCCCGAUGGAGGGGGAUAACUACUGGAAACGGUAGCUAAUACCGCAUAACGUCGCAAGACCAAAGUGGGGGACCUUCGGGCCUCACACCAAUGGAUGUUCCCAGAUGGGAUCAGCUAGUAGGUGGGGUAAUGGCUCACCUAGGCGACGAUCCCUAGCUGGUCUGAGAGGAUGACCAGCCACACUGGAACUGAGACACGGUCCAGACUCCUACGGGAGGCAGCAGUGGGGAAUAUUGCACAAUGGGCGCAAGCCUGAUGCAGCCAUGCCGCGUGUAUGAAGAAGGCCUUCGGGUUGUAAAGUACUUUCAGCGGGGAGGAAGGCGGUGAAGUUAAUAGCUUCACCGAUUGACGUUACCCGCAGAAGAAGCACCGGCUAACUCCGUGCCAGCCGCCGCAGUAA
rnacentral:rRNA from 1 species